CCUACGGGAGGCUGCAGUAGGGAAUCUUCCACAAUGGGCGCAAGCCUGAUGGAGCAACACCGCGUGAGUGAAGAAGGGUUUCGGCUCGUAAAGCUCUGUUGUUGGAGAAGAACGUGCGUGAGAGUAACUGUUCACGCAGUGACGGUAUCCAACCAGAAAGUCACGGCUAACUACGUGCUAGCAGCCGCGGUAAUACGUAGGUGGCAAGCGUUAUCCGGAUUUAUUGGGCGUAAAGCGAGCGCAGGCGGUUGCUUAGGUCUGAUGUGAAAGCCUUCGGCUUAACCGAAGAAGUGCAUCGGAAACCGGGCAACUUGAGUGCAGGAGAGGACAGUGGAACUCCAUGUGUAGCGGUGGAAUGCGUAGAUAUAUGGAAGAACACCAGUGGCGAAGGCGGCUGUCUGGUCUGCGACUGACGCUGAGGCUCGAAAGCAUGGGUAGCGAACAGGAUUAGAUACCCUGGUAGUC
rnacentral:rRNA from 1 species